rnacentral:rRNA from 1 species
AGCGAACGCUAGCGGCGGGCCUAACACAUGCAAGUCGAGCGGGGAGCAAUCCCCAGCGGCGGACGGGUGAGUAACACGUAGGUUAUGUGCCCUUUGGUGGGAAUAACCGUGGAAACCAUGGCUAAUUCCGCAUAUCGAGCGAAAUCUUGAAAGCCUUCGGGCGCCAAAGGAGCAACCUGCGGCCCAUUAGCUUGUUGGUAGGGUAACGGCCUACCAAGGCGAUGAUGGGUAGCUGGUCUGAGAGGAUGAUCAGCCACACUGGAACUGAGACACGGUCCAGACUCCUACGGGAGCAGCAGUGGGAAUAUUGGAC